CGUGGAGACAGGUGGUGCAUGGCUGUCGUCAGCUCGUGUCGUGAGAUGUUGGGUUAAGUCCCGCAACGAGCGCAACCCUCACCCCUUGUUGCCAUCAGGUCACGCUGGGCACUCUAGGGGAACUGCCCCGGUCAACGGGGAGGAAGGUGGGGACGACGUCAAGUCAUCAUGCCCCCUACGUCCUGGGCUACACACGUGCUACAAUGGCCGGUACAAAGGGAUGCAAGACCGUGAGGUGGAGCUAAACCCAAAAAGCCGGUCUAAGUUCAGAUUGGAGUCUGCAACUCGACUCCAUGAAGGAGGAAUCGCUAGUAAUCGCGCAUCAGCACGGCGCGGUGAAUACGUUCCCGGGCCUUGUACACACCGCCCGUCACACCACGAAAGCCAGCUGUACUCGAAGUCGCUGAG
rnacentral:rRNA from 1 species